rnacentral:misc_RNA from 1 species
AGUCGUAACAAGGUAACCGUAGGUGAACCUGCGGUUGGAUCAUUAAUGAUUCUUGAAUGACUGUCCAGCGGAUGGGUUGUGUUUCUGCUUAGUGCACGAAGCACAAUCAGUAUGCUGGGCUGUCAGUCAAUGACCCCCCUUGUGAAUGUUUCCUGUAUUUUCCAGUUGGUGGUUCUACACCAAAUGGAAUGGUUGCGAGUACUCGUAGCUGUUCUUGGGACCGCCUUCUGGGAACUGUAAAACACUUUGAAUCUUAUGCACUCAGUGUCUCUACCUGGUUUAUUCAUUUUGGAUGAAUCUUGUAAUAAAUCCAUACAACUUUUGACAAUGGAUCUCUUGGCUCAC